AAGUCAGACUUAGAGAAGGAGAGACAGAAAGAACUUCCAUCUGCUGGUUCACUCUCCCAGGUGGCCGCAGUAACCGGAACUGAGCUGAUCAGGACUCCCACAUGG